AGAGUUUGAUCCUGGCUCAGGAUGAACGCUAGCGACAGGCUUAACACAUGCAAGUCGAGGGGCAGCAUAAAAGUAGCAAUACUUGGUGGCGACCGGCGCACGGGUGAGUAACGCGUAUGCAACCUACCUAUCAGAGGGGAAUAACCCGGCGAAAGUCGGACUAAUACCGCAUAAAACAGGGGCACCGCAUGGUGAUAUUUGUUAAAGAAAUUCGCUGAUAGAUGGGCAUGCGUUCCAUUAGGUAGUUGGUGAGGUAACGGCUCACCAAGCCGACGAUGGAUAGGGGAACUGAGAGGUUGGUCCCCCACACUGGUACUGAGACACGGACCAGACUCCUACGGGAGGCAGCAGUGAGGAAUAUUGGUCAAUGGGCGAGAGCCUGAACCAGCCAAGUCGCGUGAAGGAAGAAGGAUCUAUGGUUCGUAAACUUCUUUUGCAGGGGAAUAAAGUGCAGGACGUGUCCUGUUUUGUAUGUACCCUGAGAAUAAGGAUCGGCUAACUCCGUGCCAGCCGCUGC
rnacentral:rRNA from 1 species